rnacentral:rRNA from 1 species
GAUGAACGCUGGCGGCAUGCCUAAUACAUGCAAGUCGAGCGAACAGAUAAGGAGCUUGCUCCUUUGACGUUAGCGGCGGACGGGUGAGUAACACGUGGGUAACCUAUCUAUAAGACUGGAAUAACUCCGGGAAACCGGGGCUAAUGCCGGAUAACAUGUUGAACCGCAUGGUUCUACAGUGAAAGGCGGCUUUGCUGUCACUUAUAGAUGGACCCGCGCCGUAUUAGCUAGUUGGUGAGGUAACGGCUCACCAAGGCAACGAUACGUAGCCGACCUGAGAGGGUGAUCGGCCACACUGGAACUGAGACACGGUCCAGACUCCUACGGGAGGCAGCAGUAGGGAAUCUUCCGCAAUGGGCGAAAGCCUGACGGAGCAACGCCGCGUGAGUGAUGAAGGUCUUCGGAUCGUAAAACUCUGUUAUUAGGGAAGAACAAAUGCGUAAGUAACUGUGCGCGUCUUGACGGUACCUAAUCAGAAAGCCACGGCUAACUACGUG